AGAUAUUGCAGAUCUGGAGAAAAAUGCAGCACUGCUAAUCUUACCAUCUUUAUUCACAGAAAACAUCAAGUUUCUCUUCUGUCUGGACAAUUUGAAGAAAUGAAGAAACGUUUGACCCGGAAUAGGAUAAGUACACUGUCUGGAGUCUGUUUUUCAUGAAAUGCAAGGUGUUUGAUGGCACUUUGCUCUAUUCAGCAGCUCUUUUUUUAGCAGGCUGGAGCUCAGAGAUGUUCGUCUGCUGGUGUGAAGAGUCGAACUGACUCACCGCUUCACCAGAAUAAGAGAAGGAGAGUCCCACCACUUCAGCUCUGAUUAACAGCACAUUAAGUGUGGGCCGGCGAGAGAAAAUGGCAUCCAGUGGGAAUUUCCAAGAUGGCUGCCGAGCCAACUGAC